UACGUAGGGUGCAAGCGUUGUCCGGAAUUAUUGGGCGUAAAGAGCUCGUAGGCGGUCUGUCGCGUCGGCUGUGAAAUCCCGGAGCUCAACUCCGGGUCUGCAGUCGAUACGGGCAAACUGGAGUACUGCAGGGGAGACUGGAAUUCCUGGUGUAGCGGUGAAAUGCGCAGAUAUCAGGAGGAACACCGGUGGCGAAGGCGGGUCUCUGGGCAGUAACUGACGCUGAGGCACGAAAGCCAGGGGAGCGAACGGG
rnacentral:rRNA from 1 species